rnacentral:rRNA from 1 species
AUACGGAGGAUCCGAGCGUUAUCCGGAUUUAUGGGUUUAAAGGGAGCGUAGCGGGAUAUCAAGUCAGCUGUGAAAUGUAGAUGCUCAACAUCUGCACUGCAGUUGAAACUGGUAUUCUUGAGUGCGUAAGAGGUAGGCGGAAUUCGUCGUGUAGCGGUGAAAUGCGUAGAGAUGGGGAGGAACACCAGUGGCGAAGGCGGCCUGCUGGGCUUUAACUGACGCUGAGGCACGAAAGCGUGGGUAGC